UACGUAGGGUCCAAGCGUUGUCCGAAUUUAUUGGGCGUAAAGAGCUCGUAGGCGGUUUCGUAAGUCGGAUGUGAAAACUCAGGGCUCAACCCGGAGACGCCAUCCGAUACUGCGAUGACUUGAGUCUGGUAGGGGAACACGGAAUUCCUGGUGUAGCGGUGAAAUGCGCAGAUAUCAGGAGGAACACCGAUGGCGAAGGCAGUGUUCUGGGCCAGUACUGACGCUGAGGAGCGAAAGCGUGGGGAGCAAACAGG
rnacentral:rRNA from 1 species